rnacentral:rRNA from 1 species
UACGUAGGGUGCAAGCGUUGUUCGGAAUUACUGGGCGUAAAGGGGGAGUAGGCGGAAAGAAAAGUCAGAUGUGAAAGCCCUGUGCUUAACGCAGGAAGAGCAUUUGAAACUAUCUAACUAGAGUGUAUUAUGGGAGCGUGGAAUUCCUAGUGUAGCGGUGAAAUGCGUAGAUAUUAGGAGGAAGACUCGUGGCGAAGGCGACGCUCUGGGGUAACACUGACGCUGAGGACCGAAAGCAUGGGGAGCAAACAGG